GAUGAAGAACGUAGCGAAAUGCGAUAAGUAAUGUGAAUUGCAGAAUUCAGUGAAUCAUCGAAUCUUUGAACGCACAUUGCGCCCUCUGGUAUUCCGGGGGGCAUGCCUGUUCGAGCGUCAUUAUAACCACUCAAGCUCUCGCUUGGUAUUGGGGUUCGCGGUUUCGCGGCCCCUAAAAUCAGUGGCGGUGCCUGUCGGCUCUACGCGUAGUAAUACUUCUCGCGAUUGAGUUCGAUAGGUCUACUUGCCAGUAACCCCCAAUUUUUACAGGUUGACCUCGGAUCAGGUAGGGAUACCCGCUGAACUUAAGCAUAUCAGUAAGCGGAGGA
rnacentral:misc_RNA from 1 species